UGAGUGGCGGACGGGUGAGUAACGCGUGGGCGACCUGGCCUGUACAGGGGGAUAACACUUAGAAAUAGGUGCUAAUACCGCAUAACGGGGGAAGCCGCAUGGCUUUUCCCUGAAAACUCCGGUGGUACAGGAUGGGCCCGCGUCUGAUUAGCCAGUUGGCAGGGUAACGGCCUACCAAAGCGACGAUCAGUAGCCGGCCUGACAGGGCGGACGGCCANACUGGGACUGAGACACGGCCCAGACUCCUACGGGAGGCAGCAG
rnacentral:rRNA from 1 species